UUGCGGCAACGGUCGGGUAAAGGUGCCGGAAACGGGCGGAAGUGGAGAAGCCACACUGCUCUCGAGUUGUCUGCGUCAUCCUCGAGGGCGGUAAAAGCCGGCCGGCGUGCUCGAUGUGUGCAUCACGCAUCGGCGCUCGUCAGGCCGCCCAGCUUUGGCAGACUGGCCGUGUUUGUGCUCAUACUCUCAGCCUCUCGGGUGACACAGCGCUGGCGUGAAGAGUCGCAUCAAGGCGUCCAAGCUGGCGGAGUUGAGGAGCCACCUCUAUUUGAGGCCGAGUGUGUGCAUGGUCGGAUAGAGAUGAGAGCGAAGAAGCGGAAGCGAGAGUGGGAGCUCUUGCGGAUCGCAUUGGAGGGGGCGAUUGUUGAAUCCCCUCAAGCCGUGCCGAUCUUUGUCCGUGGCGCCGAUCUGGAGUCCGGCAAGAGUUCCUCCGACUCUGUCACCUCCAACGCGGGCAGCGCUAAGGCUGCAGCCGACGACGUGAUUCAUAUCGCGCAUGCCCUCUGUAAGGUUUGCGCCAAGUCUCCUAAAGCCGUCAACGAGUUUGUUCGAAGAGUGAGCCCUGCCACCGUCGGCCGUUCAAUUGAUUGGGACCUCGUCCGCGACAACAACUCAUCGAAGGCAUGGGAGAACCUGGCGAAAAAAAUGUACAGCAAGUGCAGGAAGAGAGUGAACAAGGCUCAAUUGGAGUACAUUUGGGAGCAGUGUAAGAAGCGGUUCCACAUGUGGGUGUGGCUAGAAUCGCAGGCUACCGGGCUGGGUCGUGAUCCCCUUACUUCAGCCAUUGUCGCUAAUGAUUCGUGGUGGGAAAGCAAGAAUGCGGUCAAGAAAGGUGUGAUCAGCUUAAAAAAUGAUCCUCUCAAGCACAUUGAUCUUCACCACGUGAGCCGUGCAAUAGAGGCAGAGGCAGCUAAGGCUACAGGGCUUGAGGCUUGCUUGGAGUUGGUGGAAAAUGAUAGGCACCCUACUGGAGGCCCGGUGUGUAGUAUGGUUACAUUUUUCAUUGCAAUUAAUAUUUUUGAUACAUUCGAUAAUGACAAUGCUUGUGCUGGUGGAUCGAGUUGGACGGGAGGUCAUACAAGCAGCGACGAGGACGAUGCCAUCAUUGCUAGUUUUGAUAUUAAUGAGAGAGCACCAAGGAGAAUACCAGUAUAA
rnacentral:lncRNA from 1 species